rnacentral:rRNA from 1 species
UCUAUAGGGCGAUUGAUUUAGCGGCCCCGAUUCGCCUUGUGCCAGCCGCCGCGUAAUACGAAGGGGGCUAGCGUUGCUCGGAAUUACUGGGCGUAAAGGGCGCGUAGCGCGAACAGUUUAGUCAGAGGUGAAAGCCCAGGGCUCAACCUUGGAAUUGCCUUUGAUACUGACUGUCUUGAGUUCGGGAGAGGUGAGUGGAAUGCCGAGUGUAGAGGUGAAAUUCGUAGAUAUUCGGCGGAACACCAGUGGCGAAGGCGACUCACUGGCCCGAUACUGACGCUGAGGCGCGAAAGCGGGGGAAGCAAACAGGGAUUAGAUACCCUUGGUAGUCCCAGCCGGUAAACGAUGGGGGUAAGUUGGUCGGAAUGCUUCCUUUUGGGGGCGGCAGCUAACGGCAUUAGGCCCCCCGCCUGGGGGGAAGGGUCGCAAAAUUAAAAUUCAAAGGAAUUGACGGGGGCCCCCCCAACGGUGGAACAUGGUGGUUAAUUUGGAACCACCCCCGGAACCUUACAACCUUUUGCCUUCCCCUAUCGGUGGAAGGAUCCAGGUUUCCCCUUCGGGACAGGAACCAGGUGCUGAAUGCUGGCGUCGCUCGUUCGUGGGAUGUGGGUUAAGCCGCCACGGGCCCACCCUCGCCUUUAGUUCCAUCAUUAAGGUGGGACUCUAAAGGACCGCCGUGGUAAGCCGGAGAAGUGGAUGACGUCAGUCUCAUGGCCCUAACGGGGGGUAACACGGCUACAUGCGAUACGAGUGCAACUGCAGGAGCUAUUCUUAAGUCGUCAGUCGAUGCAUCUGCAUCAAUGCAUGAGUCGAUUCGUAGAUCCCGG